rnacentral:lncRNA from 1 species
UCAACACCUGCGGCUGCAUAUGGACUUCUAAUUAGAAAUACAUCUAAGAGCAGACAUCCUGGGAGAGACUUGCCUGGGCUGCUCUGCUCUCUCCAGCUCUUGCCACUUCUCUGCUGCUGAUGCUCAGAACACUGAAGCAUUUUGGAGUCUUCUCUGACUAACAAGUGGCUCAAGGCCUCCAGCUCUGUCCUCACACUCCUGUCGAGUGUAGUUAAGUAAGUGUCUUCACAAAUGGAAAGUGAUUUCUCUGCUACAGCCCCUCUGGGUACGAGUCCCACCCAACCAGAAUCAUGAAUGCUGAGGCCUUGUCCCUAGGAAUGAAGUAUGUGCAUCUCAGUAAACAAUUCUGUCCUUGGCAUCUGAUUGAUUUAUAAAGCUCAUUUUCAGUGUGCUUGUGAAGGGGUAAAGUAGAAAAAACUGGAGCUUUCUGCUUCAAAACUCAAUCUGAUCCCUUGCAGCAGAAUAUCCUUUAGGCACAACAUCUCUGCAAGGCUGCCAUUUUUCUACCUGCUUCCCUGGGCAGAGCAAAGGGGUAAAACAAAUGUUAGGGUUCAUGCAAACCAAUGUAGAUUAUGCAUUUUUUCCCCUUUGCCUUUCCUAGGGAAAAUAAGAGGGAAAGUGAAUUUUUCUUAGGCUGAAUCGAAAAGUUUUGUUAUCUGCCAAGCAUAAAAAUUCUUUUCAUCUUUGGAAAUCUUUAGGCUUUGGACAAAUAAGUACAAUUUGGAUAACAGAAAACACUGUUUUCUUUUGAAAAGACUCUUCAUUUCUAAAGUGCCAGAG